AUGAACGCUGGCGGCGUGCCUAAUACAUGCAAGUCGAGCGAACAGACGAGGAGCUUGCUCCUCUGACGUUAGCGGCGGACGGGUGAGUAACACGUGGAUAACCUACCUAUAAGACUGGGAUAACUUCGGGAAACCGGAGCUAAUACCGGAUAAUAUAUUGAACCGCAUGGUUCAAUAGUGAAAGACGGUUUUGCUGUCACUUAUAGAUGGAUCCGCGCCGCAUUAGCUAGUUGGUAAGGUAACGGCUUACCAAGGCGACGAUGCGUAGCCGACCUGAGAGGGUGAGCGGCCACACUGGAACUGAGACACGGUACAGACUCCUACGGGAGGCAGCAGUAGGGAAUCUUCCGCAAUGGGCGAAAGCCUGACGGAGCAACGCCGCGUGAGUGAUGAAGGUCUUCGGAUCGUAAAACUCUGUUAUUAGGGAAGAACAAAUGUGUAAGUAACUAUGCACGUCUUGACGGUACCUAAUCAGAAAGCCACGGCUAACUACGUG
rnacentral:rRNA from 1 species